UUUUCUAAGACUUUCAUUGUGAUGUCUGAGUAUAUCUUCUUCACUCGAACGUUCUGGGAGAUUUUCCGAUGAUUUUUGGGUGAUUUUUCGGUGACUUAUCAGCUUCUAGGGUCUGGUGGUUGAACCUAGGGUUUAGCUGCUAUCCGGUGGCUCGAUCCUCACUCAGUGGAUGUUUUGGGUGACUUUCCGACAUCCCUGACCAUAUUUCCAGUAAGGUUUUCGACG
rnacentral:lncRNA from 1 species